CCUACGGGUGGCAGCAGUGAGGAAUAUUGGUCAAUGGGCGAGAGUCUGAACCAGCAAAGUCGCGUGAAGGAUGACUGCCCUAUGGGUUGUAAACUUCUUUUAUAAGGGAGUAAAAAGAGACACGUGUGCCUUUUUGCAUGUACUUUAUGAAUAAGGCUCGGCUAACUCCGUGCCAGCAGCCGCGGUAAUACGGAGGAUCCGCGCGUUAUCCGGAUUUAUUGGGUUUAAAGGGAGCGUAGAUGGGUUGUUAAGUCAGUUGUGAAAGUUUGCGGCUCAACCGUAAAAUUGCAAUGGAAACUGGCAGUCUUGAGUACAGUUGAGGUAAGCGGAAUUCGUGGUGUAGCGGUGAAAUGCUUAGAUAUCACGAAGAACCCCGAUUGCGAAGGCAGCUUACUAAACUGUGACUGACAUUGAUGCUCGAAAGUGUGGGUAUCAAACAGGAUUAGAUACCCGGGUAGUC
rnacentral:rRNA from 1 species